CUCCAGUUUACCGACUUUAAAACCGUGACUCGGGCUGUUCUGGGAUAAUUCUUUGACUGGACUGUGUUUGGACCGCUCUCUUCGCCUCUCUGUCUCCAAGCCCGACCCGGACUCCGCGACGACUUCUGUCUCUUCAGACCGCGAUGGCGGCGGCCCAGAGACUGACCAUUGAGGACAAGAAGAGGAAGAUCUUCAACUGAUGGGUUAUGGAUUAUGACGUCAAGGCCACAGAGGCGUUCUAUGAAGGGCACCAGAAAAAUCCAAAGAAUCCUACUGCGUUGUUCAAGAUGAGCUUAACGGGAGAGGCCGCGAGUGGGACUCGGAACACGCCAAUCCCGUCCCCUUGAUCAGGUCAUCGUGUUCGGGACCAGAUGGAGCAGGAGAACAUCGGUGACCUGGAGGCCAAAGUUCAGGCCCAGAAAGCGGCCAAAGAGGAGCCGGAAGCUGAAAGAGCGACACAAGAGAGACCUGCCGGAAACCACGCCUUGAGUGCUGGAUCCUCCUCCUCCGCUGCCGCCACCGGUCCGUGCGGAGGGGCCCCCGGGAAGCGGAUCGUCCGGAACCAGGCCCUGGACAUUGUGCCACGGGAAACGGUCAGCCAGGAGGACCAAGGCGGCCGAGGUGGAGCCGGGGGGGCUGGAGCGGUGUGCGGACUACGCCAGGGCAGGAGGCGCCGUCCUCUCGGGGGCGCAGGCAAGGCCCCUCCGUUUUAAAAUGUUUUAAUAAAUGAUGUUUCAUAUAUAUCUCUUUUAAAUUCGUCUUUUAACAAAUGAUGUUUUAAUUUAAUAAUGAUAAUGAUAAUAUCUGCCAUUUAAAAUAAUAUAUGUUUUAAAUGACAUUUUAUAUACAUAUAAUAAUAAUAAUAAUAAUAAUAAUAAUAAUAAUAAUAAUAAAACUAACAGAAAAGUGACCACUCUAAAACUGAAAAAAAAAAUGGGACUUACAGCUCUAACACAAACCCCUUUUAUUAUGGAUAAGAAAUCUGGGAAUAAAGAAAACCAUGACAACUAAACCUGCAAAUGAGAAGGGCAAACUGUAUUUAAAUGUUGAAUCAAGGUGUGUGGCAAUGAAAACCAAAUACAUAACAAAAGAGGAUCAAUGCAAGAUUUAUUGUGAUAACAAACAAGACGGUGAAAAGCAAUAGAUGAUGAUCAAAGUAGUGAACCUAUGUUGUGCAAAACAGAAUAUGAAAAAUAAUGUCUGAAGUAAGGCAAUUGAAUCCAAACCCAUGCCACCAACACAGAGGCAGGAAUAAUACAAUUUUAUUUCUACCCCUCCACCAUCUCCCCAAAGGGACUCAGGGCGGCUAACAAAAUACAGCAAAGUGCUCUAUAUAGACAAUCAUAAAUCUCAACGAUAAAACCAUAGGAUUACAAUAACACAUAUACAUAAUUACAAUGUAAAACAUUAAAAUUCAUAAAAUGUAUUCAUAGCUGCAGAUAAAAACAGCUCAGUGUUGACGUGAUGCCAACAGUAAGUCCUUUGCCUUUGAACAUCAUUUAUUACUACUCUAGAUUAGACAUUAAACCCCAUUUUGGGAUAAAACCAGGUCUAUACACCUCUCCCGUGUCAGCAGGUUUGACCCUUAUAGAUCUGUCCCUUUUUUUGCAAAAUAUUAUUUAUUUGCAGUAUUUAUAUUCCGCCCUUUCUUCUCACCCCAAAGGGGACUCAGGGUGGAUCACAAUGAACAUAUAUAUGGCAAACGUUCAAUGCUAUCAGACAAACAACAUACAGUAUAGACACACACAGAGGCAUUUAGCAUGUCCAGCUUCAUGAGGUAUGCUCGAUUCCAGCCAUAGGGGGAGCUGUUGGUUCACCGUCCACUAGUGACACCGAGUGCUGUACUUCCUCAUUCCUUUCCACUUGUUGCUGGCAGUUUUAUGGUGUUGUAAAUUAGUUAAAUUAGCCUCCCGCAUAAAGCGUACCUAAAUUUCCUAGUUGACAGAGGCAACUGUCUUUCGGGCUGCUUAAGUAAACAGUAAGCCAGGCUAUUUAAUGGUCGGGGGCUGCAAAAAUGAGAUAUGAAUAUAUGGCCUAUUGACAGACCCCACCUGGACAUGGAAAGCGCCUUAAAUGUAUAUUUAAAUGUAUAAUUAUGUAUAUUUUAAUGUAUAUUCUUAAUUUUAUUGUAAUUCUUAAUCUUGAUGGAUUUUUAGAUUUGGGGUGCUUUGAAUGCGAUUUCCUGCUUCUUAGCGGGGGGUUGGACUGGAUGGCCCAUGAGGCCUCUUCCAACUCUACUAUUCUAUGAUUCUAUGAUGAAAACUGUUUUUGAUGUGUAUGUUUAUAUUGUAAGCCACCCUGAGUCCUCUGAUGGGUGAGAAGGGCGGGGUAGGAGUGAUGUAAUAAAAUAAAAGUAAGUAAUAAACCCGA